rnacentral:rRNA from 1 species
CAGCAGCCGCGGUAAUACGUAGGGUGCGAGCGUUAAUCGGAAUUACUGGGCGUAAAGCGUGCGCAGGCGGUUCGUUAAGACAGAUGUGAAAUCCCCGGGCUUAACCUGGGAACUGCAUUUGUGACUGGCGGGCUAGAGUAUGGCAGAGGGGGGUAGAAUUCCACGUGUAGCAGUGAAAUGCGUAGAGAUGUGGAGGAAUACCGUUGGCGAAGGCAGCCCCCUGGGCCAAUACUGACGCUCAUGCACGAAAGCGUGGGGAGCAAACAGGAUUAGAUACCCGGGUAGUCCCUGUCUCUUAUAC